rnacentral:lncRNA from 1 species
GGCAGGCCAACAUUCAAAUUCAGAAAAUACAGAGAACACCACAAAGAUACUCCUUGAGAAGAGCAACCCCAAGACACAUAAUUGUCAGAUUCACCAAAGCUGAAAUGAAGGAAAAAAUGUUAAGGGCAUCCAGAGAGAAAGGUCGGGUUACACACAAAGGGAAGCCUAUCAGACUAACAGCGGAUCUCUCGGCAGAAACUCUACAAGCCAGAAGAGAGUGGGAGCCAAUAUUCAACAUUAUUAAAGAAAAGAAUUUUCAACCCAGAAUUUCAUAUCCAGCCAAACUAAGCUUCAUAAGUAAAGGAGAAAUAAAAUACUUUACAGACAAGCAAAGGCUGAGAGAUUUUGUCACCACCAGGCCUGCCUUACAAGAGCUCCUGAAGGAAGCACUAAAUAUGGAAAGGAACAACCAGUAUCAGCCACUGCAAAAACAUGCCAAAUUGUAAAGACCAUCGAUACUAGGAAGAAACUGCAUCAAUUAAUGAGCAAAAUAACCAGCUAACAUCAUAAUGACAGGAUCAAAUUCACACAUAACAAUAUUAACCUUAAAUGUAAAUGAGCUAAAUGCCCCAAUUAAGAUACAGACUGGCAAAUUGGAUAAAGAGUCAAUAUCCAUCAGUGUGCUGUAUUCAGGAGACCUAUCUCAUGUGCAGAGACACACACAGGCUCAAAAUAACGGGAUGGAGGAAGAUCUAUCAACCAAAUGGAAAGCAAAAAAAAGCAGAGGUUGCAACCCUAGUCUCGGAUAAAACAGACUUUAAACCAACAAAAAUCAAAAGAGACAAAUAAGGCCAUUACAAAAUGGUAUAGGGAUCAAUUCAACAAGAAGAGCUAACUAUCCUAAAUAUAUAUGCACCCAAUACAGGAGCACCCAGAUUCAUAAAGCAAGUCCUUAGAGACCUACAAAGAGACUUAGACUCCCACACAAUAACAAUGGGAGACUUUAACACCCCACUGUCAAUAUUAGACAGAUCAGCAAGACAGAAGGUUAACAAGGAUAUUCAGGACUUGAACUCAGCUCUGCAACAAGCAGGCCUAAUAGACAUCUACAGAACUUUCCACAGUUCUGAAGUCAACAGAAUAUACAUUCUUCUCAGCACCACAUCGCACUUAUUCUAAAAUUGACCACAUAAUUGGAAGUAAAACACUCCUCAGCAAAAGUAAAAGAACAGAAAUCACAACAAACUGUCUCUCAGACCACAGUGCAAUCAAAUUAGAACUCAGGAUUAAGAAACUCACUUAAAACCGCACAACUACAUGGAAACUGAACAACCUGCUCCUGAAUGACUACUGGGUAAAUCAGCACAGCAAAAAGCUUAUCCACCAAAAUCAACUUGGCUUCAUCCCUGGGAUGCAAGGCUGGUUCAACACAUGCCAAUCAAUAAACGUAAUCCAGCACAUAAACAGAACAAACGACAAAAA